rnacentral:tRNA from 1 species
GCGGGCGUGGCGCAGUGGUUAGCGCGUAGGUCUCAUAAUGUGAUGUGACUUGGGAUAUCCUAAGGUCGAGGGUUCGACACCCUCCGCCCGCA